rnacentral:rRNA from 1 species
UACGGAGGGUGCGAGCGUUAAUCGGAAUUACUGGGCGUAAAGGGUGCGUAGGUGGUUAAUUAAGUUAUCUGUGAAAUCCCUGGGCUCAACCUGGGCAGGUCAGAUAAUACUGUUUAACUCGAGUGUGGGAGAGGGUAGUGGAAUUUCCGGUGUAGCGGUGAAAUGCGUAGAGAUCGGAAGGAACACCAGUGGCGAAGGCGGCUACCUGGCCUAACACUGACACUGAGGCACGAAAGCGUGGGGAGCAAACAGG